AAAGUCGUAACAAGGUAACCGUAGGUGAACCUGCGGUUGGAUCAUUACAAAAUAUCCGAGGCCGUGAGCCUCUCCUGUUUGAGCCUGGAUCGGCCCCCGUCGACCGCCACCCGGCGGUCCGGCACUCUGGUCUAGGCGGCAAAAACAGCCAACCUUUCUGUGCACAGUACCGUUUCUGGCGGGUGGGCGGGGCGGAGCUUGCCUCUGUCCCUGCUUGUCAGCGGGGUUGCCUCCUCCGGGGCAGCGCCGCCGUGGACGGCCCGCCAACCAUUUGCUCAAACCGACGAUGUUGCUUUGUUUUGUCUGACAUUCAAUGUUUUGUGUAAAAACUGAAACAACUUUUGGCAACGGAUCUCUUGGCUCUC
rnacentral:misc_RNA from 1 species